ensembl:snRNA U6 U6 spliceosomal RNA
GUGCUUACUUCAGUAGCACAUACACUACAAUUUGGAACAAUACAGGGAAGAUUAGCAUGGCCCUUAUGCAAGGAUAACACACAAAUUUAUGAAGUGUUCCAUAUUCUC